GACGAACGCUGGCGGCGUGCCUAAUACAUGCAAGUCGAGCGCAGGAAAUCAUCCGAACCCUUCGGGGGGACGUUGAUGGAAUGAGCGGCGGACGGGUGAGUAACACGUAAAGAACCUGCCCUUAGGUCUGGGAUAACCACGAGAAAUCGGGGCUGAUACCGGAUGGGUCAUCGGACCGCAUGGUCCGAGGAUGAAAGGCGCUUCGGCGUCGCCUGGGGAUGGCUUUGCGGUGCAUUAGCUAGUUGGUGGGGUAAUGGCCCACCAAGGCGACGAUGCAUAGCCGACCUGAGAGGGUGAUCGGCCACACUGGGACUGAGACACGGCCCAGACUCCUACGGGAGGCAGCAGUAGGGAAUCUUCCACAAUGGACGAAAGUCUGAUGGAGCAACGCCGCGUGAACGAUGAAGGCCUUCGGGUCGUAAAGUUCUGUUGUAAGGGAAGAACAAGUGCCGCAGGCAAUGGCGGCACCUUGACGGUACCUUGCGAGAAAGCCACGGCUAACUACGUGCCAGCAGCCGCGGUAAAAC
rnacentral:rRNA from 1 species